rnacentral:rRNA from 1 species
UGGUGGGUAGUUUGACUGGGGCGGUCUCCUCCUAAAGAGUAACGGAGGAGCACGAAGGUUGGCUAAUCCUGGUCGGACAUCAGGAGGUUAGUGCAAUGGCAUAAGCCAGCUUGACUGCGAGCGUGACGGCGCGAGCAGGUGCGAAAGCAGGUCAUAGUGAUCCGGUGGUUCUGAAUGGAAGGGCCAUCGCUCAACGGAUAAAAGGUACUCCGGGGAUAACAGGCUGAUACCGCCCAAGAGUUCAUAUCGACGGCGGUGUUUGGCACCUCGAUGUCGGCUCAUCACAUCCUGGGGCUGAAGUAGGUCCCAAGGGUAUGGCUGUUCGCCAUUUAAAGUGGUACGCGAGCUGGGUUUAGAACGUCGUGAGACAGUUCGGUCCCUAUCUGCCGUGGGCGCUGGAGAACUGAGGGGGGCUGCUCCUAGUACGAGAGGACCGGAGUGGACGCAUCACUGGUGUUCGGGUUGUCAUGCCAAUGGCACUGCCCGGUAGCUAAAUGCGGAAGAGAUAAGUGCUGAAAGCAUCUAAGCACGAAACUUGCCCCGAGAUGAGUUCUCCCUGAGACUUUAAGUCUCCUGAAGGAACGUUGAAGACGACGACGUUGA